UUGUGGAGGAGGACGCCGAAGGUGGGGCUAAUGACUGGGGUGAAGUCGUAACAAGGUAGCCGUACCGGAAGGUGCGGCUGGAUCACCUCCUAACAGGGAGACAACAAAAUGUUUAAUAUUAUUAUUUUGUCACCUUAGGUCGAUCGGUACCUCACUUUCUUAAUUAAUUAAGAAUUUCAUUUCCUAAGUUUUUCUAGGUCACACCCAUUAUUUUCCUGGGCCAUUAGCUCAGGUGGUUAGAGCGCACCCCUGAUAAGGGUGAGGUCCCUGGUUCAAGUCCAGGAUGGCCCAUAUCUCUAUGUUGGGGGUAUAGCUCAGUUGGUAGAGCGCCUGCUUUGCAAGCAGGAUGUCAGCGGUUCGAGUCCGCUUACCUCCACUGAUUACCACCUCUUCCAUAAAUUUAAAGAAGGGAAUUGUUAUUAGAUGUGAUUUAGUUCUGAACGAAUCUAGCUUCCUAAUAAAUAUAUUAAGAUGCUGGACUCAUUGAAUUUUAUUCAUUGUUUUCAGAGAACCUUGACAACUGCAUAGAUUAUUUUUAAAGACAAUAAGCAUCUUUAAUGAUGCAGAUUUAUUAUUUGCGCUAAUGCAUUAAUAACAAUUCUAUUGAGCUGAUGCUUCAAUUUUUUGAAGUUAUUGGUCAAGCUACAA
rnacentral:misc_RNA from 1 species